rnacentral:rRNA from 1 species
UACGGAGGAUGCGAGCGUUAUCCGGAUUUAUUGGGUUUAAAGGGUGCGUAGGCGGACGCUUAAGUCAGCGGUAAAAUUGCGGGGCUCAACCCCGUCGAGCCGUUGAAACUGGCAGACUUGAGUUGGCGAGAAGUACGCGGAAUGCGCGGUGUAGCGGUGAAAUGCAUAGAUAUAUGGAAGAACACCAGUGGCGAAAGCGGCUCUCUGGUCUGUAACUGACGCUGAGGUUCGAAAGCGUGGGUAGCAAACAGG